rnacentral:ncRNA from 1 species
UCAUCCCCAGAUUCAAAACCGUCGCAGUAGCCUUUUGGCUAGGUGGCAUGACAGAGUUAUGUUGAAUAUACGUGGUAAAGCUGCACCUGGGCACGUUGAAUGUCAUG